rnacentral:lncRNA from 1 species
GAAUUCAUGACAAAAUUGCAAAGGAAGAAGAGAAAACUCAGGAGCAUAUGGAGAGAAGGAUACAAGCUGUGCUUUCCCUGAAAACCAGCAUCACUUCCAACAGGGAAAAGCUCCAAACUCUCCAGGUUUUGAACAAAGCAAAGGCCUUGGAGGCAGAGAAGGAGAAGAUGAAAAUGAGGGAAGCCAUCCUAGCAGAAGGAGGCAAUGUUGUCCAGGAAAUUUUCCUCCAUAAACGACAGCUAAAGCACGAAAAAGAGGAACAAGCUUUCAGAGAACUGCAGAAAUCAAGAAAAAUUGAGAUUGUAUCUCGAAUUCUGAAAGAAGAAGCUUCUUUUCACAAGCAGAAAGAAAGUCAGUCCCGUAUUAGGGCAACUAAGGCUCGGGGUAAAGUUGAGGACCCUUCAGUGCAGAGAAAGGAAGCCUGGCCCUGCAGGGAGGAGACCUGCACACGUGCAGGUGGAGCCACAGCACAGGAGUCCUGGCUCUCUCCAUCACCUCCUUCCUUGGCUGGUGAGGGAACUGCUCCCGAGGGAGGGAGUCCUGAGGACACAGCCCAGGAUGUGCUCUGGGAAAGUGGGGAUGAUGAGAAAGAGAAGGAAAAGACCCUCUUAGAACCAGAGUUCCCGGGACUUUGGGGGCAGGAAUAUGACUUGCACA